CUUUGUGAACCGUUUUUAUGCUUGCUUUCAUCUUCAUCUGGCCACUUCAUUGAGCAUAGGAGCCUCCUAGGAGCAAGGGCACACAUGAUUGCUUGAGCUUCAAAACAAAAGAAGUUAGUGACAUAUUUUUGUGCUUUUGGUUAGUAAACAACAUAAGAAAAGAAAUAAUAUACAAUUCAAGCAUUCUUGGUGGUCUCAAACCAAC
rnacentral:lncRNA from 1 species